GGGCCCGUAGUAUAGUGGCAGAACAGUUCCUUCGCAAGGAACAGGCCCGAGUUCGAUUCUCGGUGGGUCCU